GACGAACCGUGCAAACGUUGUUCGGAAUCACUGGGCUUAAAGGGCGCGUAGGCGGGCCAGCCAGUCUGUGGUGAAAGCCUCCAGCUUAACUGGAGAAGUGCCGUGGAUACUGCUGGCCUCGAGGAGGGUAGGGGCAUCUGGAACGGUCGGUGGAGCGGUGAAAUGCGUUGAUAUCGACCGGAACUCCGGUGGCGAAGGCGAGGUGCUGGGCCCUUUCUGACGCUGAGUGCGCGAAAGCCAGGGGAGCAAAUGGG
rnacentral:rRNA from 1 species